ACCACAUCAAGAAAUACCAAUGGGUACAAUGCUCAUAUUGCAAAAACUGGCUGCAUUUCGAGUGUGCUGGUGUAAAAGGAGACUGGACGUCCAAGGACUUCUUUUGUGGAUGCAACAACAUCCCAGAUAUAAACGACAUCCUGGAGGCUGUUAAAGUAGAAGACUUUCAGACAGACGAAGAAAUUUUGGAUCUGGAGAAAAACCUGCUGAGUGGGCAUGUUCUGUCCAACAGAAUGUAUCUGUGGAAACACAGAGGAUUUGAUCCUGCCCUUAAAAAGCAUUACAGCGAACAUGUCACUUUAUUCAGUGACAUAAAG